rnacentral:misc_RNA from 1 species
AAGUCGACUCUGCGGAAAACGAACUUACAAAUUUGUUUAACACGACGAGGAAAUAAUACACGUUUAGAUGUGAUAAUGCUUGAUUGAUUCAUAUGCAUCAGAAUCCUCUUAUCUGGAAUUUUAUAGGAUUGGUUGACACCAAACAGUUGAGAAUAAGAGGAUAUUGAGUAUUUCUUCUUCCUUUUUUUCUGGGAACAAGUGCAACAGAGCCAACGGCGUCAACAGCUUGUUUCUUGGAAAAUUGAACUGUGACUGUGUUCUGCUGUGCUCACUGUUCUAUGAUCGUCCCUGCAUGUGGUAAGAGCUAUUCAAUAAAGACUUGGUUGAAGUGAGGCAUGAGACACGCGGACUCCUCCAGUGCCGCACUACGAUUUCCACGUGCAACAGCCGCCACGUCUUCACCACCUGACUCUCCAGCCGCCCGCACGUCGCCACCUCACUCGCCCUCACCUCGAUCUUUGCCGCGCCCAAACAUUGCUACCCGUUUGUCUUCCUCCCCGUUGGGAGACAGAGGCACUCCCAGCUACUCCUCUGCUCCCCAGCGCAAGCCUGCCGCGCCUCACGCCAUGAUGCCCAGCCGCAGCAGGAGCCGUAGUCGCAGCAACAGCAGCAGUAGCAGUAGUGCCAGCAGCCACAGCAACAACAGCCGCCGUCGCCGCCGCAACAACAACAACAAUAACAGCAGCAGCAGGAGCCGCAGUCGUAGUCGCAGCCGCAGCGGCUCGCCCGCCUCAACGCGAGUGCACGUCGGCAACAUCGGCGACGACCCGUCCAAGACAGCGCUGAUGAAGGCCUUCGACAAGUUCGGCAGCGUGCAGGAGCUGUGGUUGGCGCGCACACCACCUUGCUUCGCUUUCGUCGUGUACCGCCACCGCGACGACGCGCAGCGAGCCGUGACGGAGAUGAACGGACAGAUGCUGCACGGCAACCGCCUCAAGGUGUCCAUCGCCAGGCCGCGGACGCGGGGUCAGCGGGGCGGCGCCUUUAACCCCUACCUGCGCUGCUACCAGUGCGGCGUGCGCGGCCAUUUCUCGCGAGACUGCAAGGAGGUCGACCGUCGCCAAGGUUACAGGGAAUGGUAUGGAAUGGUAUCUGCAUAACAGCUUGUGCUACUUAAUUGUACGUGGUGUGGUGAAAUGGGGGUCACGCCAAGGCACGGGUGUCAAACCACGGCAGUGCCUAAGUACAUUGGUGCCUGUCUCUCAGUGCUGUCGCGCAAGCUUUGCGUCGAGCAGGGAGGAGAGGUACCGAGGUGUGCAAUUCAGACGGCGGGAAACUCUGGAUGGUACGGAUGGUACAGAACGAGAAAGAGAGAGCAGUACACAUGGAAUCGCGGCCGCGCAAUGGGACCCAGAAGAAGGGACAUGAGAUAAUCAGCUAGACCCCUUCAGUCGCAAGCUACUCCAAAAGCUCGACAGUAUUCAACUUUAACGUGUUUUUUUGUUCUUUUAAAAAAAACUUUUCUUCAGGAUUUUGAACUUGAUAUUUGUUUCCUCGUCUGAUUACAAUAGAUAUUGCCGACAUGCAGCUGACAGCACUCGCCACCAUGUUCCAGCAGCCCAUUCAUUCGGUGAGAAGAGGUAAUGAUCUGUACUGCAAACAUCGUGACACGUGACUGUAGCGGAGGGGGAGAGUGUGGAAAUGCUACAGCGAAUAUGACCAAGCGAAUGUAUUUUAAUGAAGAACUUCAGCUCCCAGCAACUGAGGACAAAAUGUGUGCUGUGUACGAUGUCACUGGCGAGUUGACGGAAGGUCCAGGCAGCAGCAGACGUUACCAUCAAAUGUCACACAAUGUCAUCUAGACCCCAGGAGAGAGCAACACAGCGGGUGCAGUUAAACGAACACCCAGCAGGAUGUGGCAAGUUGGUCAGAUAUAGGUAGGCCGACGGUUCACGGGUACUGCUUGCAUGAGCGGAACUGGUAGGUAGAGGACAUUGUCCAUCGAGAUGCUCAAGCCAGACAAGUCUCGCUCUAGGACCAGCCGUCUGCUCACAGUUCACUUCCCUGCCAUAUACCCCCUUUUUAGUGGAGACUGUAUUUACGGCGGUCGUGGAAUAUAUGGCUCUUAGGCGGAAGGAUAAUUCAGUGCUACGGUCAGUACGCGCAACGGAAAAUUCUUGCUCUGCUAAUGCGUUGAGGACGUCUUGAUGUUUUCGAAACUUCUGUCAAGACAAAAUUUUGCUGAAAAUGUAGGCUUUGCGUUUGUAGCAGUUGCUGCUUAACAAAGCAGAUUUAUAUCUAUUAUCUGGCUAAAGAGUAAUGUGUGAAAGAGUGCAUUAAUGAAUCGGUUAUUUUAAUGAGUAAAAGAUUGAGUAGCGAGGUGGGGCAGGGUGGGGAAUAGAGCUUUACCAAUGCACGCAGGGGCGAUUGGUAUAUGUGUGUUCAGUAUAGCAGUAAUAUUUUCUUACAAUUUUAGUGUUUAGUAACGUUCACUUCUUGGGAGCAUUUGUCAAGGGGGGGAAAUUCCACUUGUCAUAAAAAGCUCACGCAAGGAUUCUAGAGUUGUCUCACUUGACGCCAGCAAGCAGCUUGGGUUGUCUCUCUUAGACCACGGACCCACGUUCUAGAAAACAAAAAUGUAUUCUCAGCUGCGAGCUGCCUCAGUUCAUGUUUACCGGAACCUGUGCUGUAUCUUUCUAACGGUAGAAGGUUUACGGAUUUGUUUUAACGUUAUAAGAUUUUAAGUUUUGUGUGUGUGUGUCAACAGUAAACGUUUUGGAUAGUUCGCCUCCAGCUAUCUUCUAGUUGGCUAGGCAGACACCAAAAACCCUCAGACAUCACAAGACCAGAGUUAUAUGUCUAUACCUCAACACUUUCAAUAAUGCAAGUUCUAGUUUUAAAGCCUGUUCUUCCUCUCUUAUACCUUUUACCAGUUAGGUUCUUGAUUCAUUGAUAUUUGAGUCCGUGCUUGAUGCUUUAUUAUUCACUGCUUGUCUGCUCUUGAAGUAGUGAGUGGUAUACUAUCAAGCUGACUUUAACUCUUGCUUUUUGUAGCUAUGCUGGUUUUGUUCCACUAGAUAGUUUGCAGCUUUGCUGUUGAGUUGUGUCGUUCUUGAUAGUAGCGCCUCUUUUUGCGAUGAUGCCGUGCAGGAAUAGAGUGAAUAGAGGGCGUUGUUGCCGAGACCUUUAGCGCUCACUUCUCUCUCUCUUCACUGUCUGCACAAAGUAAUCAGAAUAAAUUUUCUUAUGUACGAGUGUUCAUAUCAGUACCGCAAGCGCUUGCGGCAGCGGCAGUUGUGACACGAGAGACGGCUCAAGCCCGCGGCACGCAGUGCAUGCACACCAUACGAGAUUCAGCUAUUACGAACUUUAAGGAAAAGGAUGUAUUGGAAUCACUAGACUUGCGCGUGAGAGUGUAGCACAACUCAGGAAUCCUUUUCACUUUCACACUUAAUGCGCAUGGCCAUUUUCACCGCUUCCUGCCACUGUCAUUCGUUUGCAGGCGCGCACACCUCUCGCUCUCUCUCUAACAUAUAUAAUUAAAUACUCGCACGGAGGUGAAGACAUCUACCACGCGGUUCACUUUGGGUUGAGAGGAGUCCACUGUUAUGCUUUGUGCUGGAAUAGUUUAGCGCAUGCAGUCUUAGGGAGGGGGGAUUCUGUGCUGACGUGUGUCAGAGAAGGUCCAUGGCCUCUAAAGCAUGGCGUCUUUGUUGGAACAAGUGGAUCAGUCGUGGAAACAUGUUAAUGAUAAAUAAAGUUUGUCUCCUCUG